rnacentral:rRNA from 1 species
ACGGGUGAGUAACACGUAUGCAAUCCACCUGUAACAGGGGAUAACCCGGAGAAAUCCGGACUAAUACCCCAUAAUAUGGGCGCUCCGCAUGGAGAGUCCAUUAAAGAGAGCAAUCUUGGUUACAGACGAGCAUGCGCUCCAUUAGCCAGUUGGCGGGGUAACGGCCCACCAGGGCGACGAUGGAUAGGGGUUCUGAGAGGAAGGUCCCCCACAUUGGAACUGAGACACGGUCCAA